UACGGGGGGGGCAAGCGUUGUUCGGAAUUACUGGGCGUAAAGGGCUCGUAGGCGGCCAACUAAGUCGGAUGUGAAAUCCCCAGGCUUAACCUGGGAACUGCGUCUGAUACUGGAUGGCUUGAGUUCGGGAGAGGGGUGCGGAAUUCCAGGUGUAGCGGUGAAAUGCGUAGAUAUCUGGAGGAACACCGGUGGCGAAGGCGGCAUCCUGGACCGAUACUGACGCUGAGGAGCGAAAGCCAGGGGAGCAAACGGG
rnacentral:rRNA from 1 species